UCCGUAGGUGAACCUGCGGAAGGAUCAUUACCGAGUUGAUUCGAGCUCCGGCUCGACUCUCCCACCCUUUGUGUACCUACCUCUGUUGCUUUGGCGGGCCCGCGGUUCGGCCUCGUGCCGUCCAGCACCCGCCAGAGGACCACAAAACUCCAGUCAGUGAACGUCUCAGUCUGAAAAACAAGUUAAUAAACUAAAACUUUCAACAACGGAUCUCUUGGUUCUGGCAUCGAUGAAGAACGCAGCGAAAUGCGAUAAGUAAUGUGAAUUGCAGAAUUCAGUGAAUCAUCGAAUCUUUGAACGCACAUUGCGCCCCUUGGUAUUCCGGGGGGCAUGCCUGUUCGAGCGUCAUUUCAACCCUCAAGCUCUGCUUGGUAUUGGGCUCCGUCCUCUGGGACGCGCCUCAAAGACCUCGGCGGUGGCGUCUUGCCUCAAGCGUAGUAGAAAACACCUCGCUUUGGAGCGCACGGCGUCGCCCGCCCGGACGAACCUUUGA
rnacentral:rRNA from 1 species